rnacentral:sRNA from 1 species
AUUUGAGCUUUCAAUUUAGGUCCGUCCCAGCCCUAUCUGUCUGAUUCUAAAGCCUCUGUUUUUUUCUCUAUAUAAUGCUAUGCCUACUUACACAUUUAAGAAGUGGGACUUGAACUUAGGUUUUCUGAUUCCUUGUGUAUUUUCUUUUUUUUUAAAUUUGUAUAUGUGUAAUGCAACAUUCAGAGGAUUGCUGCAUUUAGAGAAUGCGAGUUAUGGGAUUGAACCCCUGCAGAACAGCUCUCAUUUUGAGCACAUCAUUUAUCGAAUGGAUGAUGUCCACAAAGAGCCUCUGAAAUGUGGGGUUUCCAACAAGGAUAUAGAGAAAGAAACUGCAAAGGAUGAAGAGGAAGAGCCUCCCAGCAUGACUCAGCUACUUCGAAGAAGAAGAGCUGUCUUGCCACAGACCCGGUAUGUGGAGCUGUUCAUUGUCGUAGACAAGGAAAGGUAUGACAUGAUGGGAAGAAAUCAGACUGCUGUGAGAGAAGAGAUGAUUCUCCUGGCAAACUACUUGGAUAG